AUAAGAGUUUUCCCUCAAUAACCUCCUAAUUACUUUUGUUUCAUUCUCUUUUCAGAGCCUUGGAUGAGGACUUUAAUAAUUCGGUCCAUCAUUGUGUCUGUGGGUUUAGCAGCACUUAUAAUAGCUGUUGUGGCAGUAAACAUAUGGACCAAAACUAAAGGGAAACAAAUGCAGACGGAUGAAAAUAUGGUGGAUAAUGAUGAAGAUGAUGGUACAGUGAACUAUGAAAACACCAGAUCUUCUGAUGUCUGACGGAAACUUCAGCCUCCAUCAGACUCCACUGAUCAACAACUUCUACAUCAACUCAACUCGUUUUAAAUGAGUAGAUUGUAAAUACAAAAAAUACUAAGGUUAUUUUGAGAAAUGUAAUAUUUUGCUUUUG
rnacentral:lncRNA from 15 species